AUGUGGGUAUCUACCCUUUGGCCUGGAAUAACACGAGGAAACUUGUGCUAAUACCGGAUAAGUCUUUACGGAGAAAGCUUUAUGCACCAUUGGAUGAGCCCGCACUUGAUUAGUUUGUUGGUAGGGUAAUGGCCUACCAAGACUAUGAUCAAUAGCUGAUUUGAGAGGAUGAUCAGCCACAUUGGGACUGAGACACGGCCCAAACUCCUACGGGAGGCAGCAGUGGGGAAUCUUGCACAAUGGAGGAAACUCUGAUGCAGCGAUGCCGCGUGAGUGAAGAAGGCCUUUGGGUUGUAAAGCUCUUUCGUCGGGGAAGAAAAUGACUGUACCCGAAUAAG
rnacentral:rRNA from 1 species